AUACGGAGGGUGCAAGCGUUAUCCGGAAUCAUUGGGUUUAAAGGGUCCGCGGGCGGAUUAAUAAGUCAGUGGUGAAAUCCUCUCGCUCAACGAGAGAACUGCCAUUGAAACUGUUAGUCUUGAAUUCGGUCGAAGUAGGCGGAAUGUGUCAUGUAGCGGUGAAAUGCAUAGAUAUGACACAGAACACCGAUAGCGAAGGCAGCUUACUAGACCUGGAUUGACGCUCAUGGACGAAAGCGUGGGGAGCGAACAGGAUUAGAAACCCCAGUAGUCC
rnacentral:rRNA from 1 species